rnacentral:rRNA from 1 species
GACGAACGCUGGCGGCGUGCUUAACACAUGCAAGUCGAACGGAAAGGCCCUGCUUUUGUGGGGUGCUCGAGUGGCGAACGGGUGAGUAACACGUGAGUAACCUGCCCUUGACUUUGGGAUAACUUCAGGAAACUGGGGCUAAUACCGGAUAGGAGCUCCUGCUGCAUGGUGGGGGUUGGAAAGUUUCGGCGGUUGGGGAUGGACUCGCGGCUUAUCAGCUUGUUGGUGGGGUAGUGGCUUACCAAGGCUUUGACGGGUAGCCGGCCUGAGAGGGUGACCGGCCACAUUGGGACUGAGAUACGGCCCAGACUCCUACGGGAGGCAGCAGUGGGGAAUAUUGCACAAUGGGCGGAAGCCUGAUGCAGCAACGCCGCGUGCGGGAUGACGGCCUUCGGGUUGUAAACCGCUUUCGCCUGUGACGAAGCGUGAGUGACGGUAAUGGGUAAAGAAGCACCGGCUAACUACGUGCCAGCAGCCGCGGUGAUACGUAGGGUGCGAGCGUUGUCCAGAUUUAUUGGGCGUAAAGGGCUCGUAGGUGGUUGAUCGCGUCGGAAGUGUAAUCUUGGGGCUUAACCCUGAGCGUGCUUUCGAUACGGGUUGACUUGAGGAAGGUAGGGGAGAAUGGAAUUCCUGGUGGAGCGGUGGAAUGCGCAGAUAUCAGGAGGAACACCAGUGGCGAAGGCGGUUCUCUGGGCCUUUCCUGACGCUGAGGAGCGAAAGCGUGGGGAGCGAACAGGCUUAGAUACCCUGGUAGUCCACGCUGUAAACGGUGGGUACUAGGUGUGGGGUCCAUUCCACGGGUUCCGUGCCGUAGCUAACGCUUUAAGUACCCCGCCUGGGGAGUACGGCCGCAAGGCUAAAACUCAAAGGAAUUGACGGGGCCCCGCACAAGCGGCGGAGCAUGCGGAUUAAUUCGAUGCAACGCGUAGAACCUUACCUGGGUUUGACAUGGAUCGGGAGCGCUCAGAGAUGGGUGUGCCUCUUUUGGGGUCGGUUCACAGGUGGUGCAUGGCUGUCGUCAGCUCGUGUCGUGAGAUGUUGGGUUAAGUCCCGCAACGAGCGCAACCCUUGUUCACUGUUGCCAGCACGUUAUGGUGGGGACUCAGUGGAGACCGCCGGGGUCAACUCGGAGGAAGGUGGGGAUGACGUCAAGUCAUCAUGCCCCUUAUGUCCAGGGCUUCACGCAUGCUACAAUGGCUGGUACAGAGAGUGGCGAGCCUGUGAGGGUGAGCGAAUCUCGGAAAGCCGGUCUCAGUUCGGAUUGGGGUCUGCAACUCGACCUCAUGAAGUCGGAGUCGCUAGUAAUCGCAGAUCAGCAACGCUGCGGUGAAUACGUUCCCGGGGCU